rnacentral:lncRNA from 1 species
CCCAUAUGGAGACUAGAAAUUUGUCGAAGUCCGGGAGUAGUCAGAGUGAUCGAACGGGAGCGGUAGGAUUGCAUAUUAUCAAAGGGCAGUCAGAGGCCUACAGAUUAUCAAAAGAGAAACCUCAAAAUGGGAUGCCAAAUUCAGGAUCUCACCUGGCUGUGAGUCCUGUUUCGCCUCUUAUGGCUCCUGGAGGCAAAGCGCAAGCUGCAGCAAAAGACCUUCUUGACUCAAUUUUAGAUACUAUUGUCAAGAUAUUUGGUGAGCAAUCCAACUGUUAAAACUCGUCUGAAUAUUUCAUUUUCCAUAAUGAAAGCUCAAAUUUUCUCUUACUGUUACUUUUAUAGAGAAUCAUGUUGUUAUUGGAGAGCUUUUGGAGUUGAAGGCUUCACAACAUGACAUUAACACGCCAAAGUCAUUGCCUACUGAUGUCAAUUGGAACACCGAUCCCGAAGCAUCCCAAGUUACUGGAGGCUACACUAUCAGUUUACCCUUGACAGUCUUACAGGUCCGCCUAUAGAUUUCAAAAUAUCUGAUUUUUCGUGAAGCUAAAUGUUUAUAAACUACAAUGAACUCUUGGCUUCUCACACGUAAGCUUAUUGAAAUUUUACGUUAACGGUGAAGAGUGAAUGCCAACAACUCAUAUGUGAAAUUCUACGCGCAACUCCAGAAACCGCUUCAGCAGAUGCUGCUGCACAAACUGCUAAACUUGCAAAGAAGGCUCCCAAGAAAGAUAAAAGGCAAGUGAUCCUUAGCAUUGGUAGUUCUUACAUUCACGGAGAUGGGUUUCCCAAUAUCAUGUAGAUACAUAGACAACGAAACAUGUCCCAAAGAAUUAGACAUUUGAAGAUUUUGUUAAGAUAGGCGUCAUUUCCAUGACCAAGCAUGUUUUCUUGUCAGUCAACUAAUAUGUUCAUUCGGUAGUUAAGGGAUGAUUUAGAGCAUAGAUUUCUUCUGAUGACCUAAUAAGAAGGUUUUACGACACCCAAGUCUAGAAAUUUGUCAUGUAGGUUCUUCUCAGCACGCUAGUAAAUGGGAGCACUGAAAAUAUAACACAAAUUUGAAUGUGAAAUUCUGCAGUUUGGUUAGUAGUAUUUGAUCUUUGACUGAUUAUUGAUGAUGGUGGACGGCAGGGGUGCACCUGAAGAUGGGCUAACAUUCACCUUUCGGUUUACAGAUGCAACUGUAUCGCUUUCUAAUCAGGGUAUAAAUUAAUCAUCCUGACUUUUUUGUGAUUAUAAUGCCUUUGAUGGAUUAAAUGAUGUUAUGUGCUACUGACAGGAGCUGAUCUCAUUCGUCAAGGCUGGGGAAAGAGGGCUUCAAAUGCAUCACAGGAAGGUUAUGGAUCUGCAGCAGUUUUGCCUGAACAGGGAAUAUAUCUAGCUGCAUCAAUUUACCGGCCUGUCCUUCAGGUUUUGAUUCUGGUUCAUCUAAGCUUUUCCAUUCGAUGCCAACUGUUUUUCAGUAGAUUUAUUAUCUUAUGAACCUUGCAGUUUACCGAUAAAAUCACUUCAAUGUUACCCAAAAAGCAUUCCCAGCUUGUGUAAGUUCAAAAUUUCCGUUUGCCUUUACUGGCUGUCAUCCUGACAAAGCUAAACACCUCGCUCACUGUGCUGAGAAGUUGAAUGUAUUUUCACCAUCUCUGUUGUGACAAUGGUGGCUCUGCCUUUUGAAACAUUGAACAGGUUCCAUCUCGUAUUGAGAAGCUCAUUGCCGAUAAGCAGUUUUACGCUGCUAUUCAAGUGUAUCUCCAGUCGUCUCUGAUGCUUGAGCGUGAGGGCCUUCAAACGGUAAUUUCCUAACUGCCAAUGCUAUAGCAAAUGCUGGAAAAGCAAUCUCAUGGGAAUUAUUUUGGGUCUUCUCAUUCCAUUGUCAAUUUAUCUCUAGGACUGUGUCUGUUUUAUUACUAAUCUGUUGAGUGGGAUCUGUUAACAUCUCAUUUCCAUCGGGAUUUUCCUAUUCUUUCUGUUGGAGAGAUCUACUGCUCACUUGGAUGUUGUACUUAUAGAUAUUCUGGUACGUUCACCUAGGUUGGUGCUCUUCAAGAUGUCAGAUCUGAGCUAUCUAAGCUGCGAGGAUCUCUUUUCUUCAAAAUUCUAGACGAUUUGCAUGCACAUCUAUACAAUAGAGGUGAAUACAGGUAGGUUUCGUUUCAGCUUCUAUACGCAAAUUUCAGAAGCUGUGCUAAUUUGUAUCCUUGGUUACAGGCGCCUCCUUGCUUGAUAGUGUGUGUUAUCACUUCUUUCAUCGCCUAAUCUUAUGUUCUUGAACUUGUCUAUGCUGCAGUUCAAUUGCGUCAGGCAUAUAUGAAAGAGAUGAUGAAGUACCAACAACAACAGCUGUUGCAGCCAGUCGAAUGGGCUCACGACCACUUUCUCGUAGAACACGGACACUGAAAGGUGAUAGUCAGUUUGGUGUUAGGGGACUCACAAAUGGUUCACAUAGGUCGGCUUCUAUCGAAGAAGGGUAUGAUUUAGCAAUCUUUCACUUCAUUUGAUUCUUUAUCGGAUAUUAGGAAUACUUUUUCGUGUAUAAAGAUUAAUUUUUUCGGAGGGAUCAAUGUUUAUUAACUGUGUUUCGUUUCGGUUCUUUAUAGAGGUUCUCUCGGCUUUAUUUUCAAUAUAGAGGUUGAGAAUUGCAAUAUUUAUCUGAUCAUUGUUUAGAGGUCCUCCUUGUAAUUUCCUUCAUUAAAUUUUUUGUCAGUAAAAGAAAAUAUGCUAUAAAUUGAUUGUGGCAGAAGUUUCUUUGUCAGCCUAAGGUUGUGUACAUUUGUUCUGCUUUUAUAAAAAUAUUUUGCUUGUUUGUCAUUCCCUGACUUCGCUAAUUUGUCUUUCUUUAAUCACCUUGUGUUUCUUAGUUCAUCAUUUGAUGGACAUGACGAGGAGGACUCUGUAGAGCAUGAUGAAGCAUCCGCUGAUAGUAAAUUUCUUGCUCACCAACUUCCGCCGUGGCUUUCUGAUUCCACUCCUGACGAGUUUAUUGUACGUGCUUGUUGCGCUUAAAUAGCAUAUUUUAUGCCCAUUUUUUUAAUUGAUGCGACAUUACUUUUUCUCCUGUUUCAGGAAGCAGUAAGAAAGAGUGAUGACCCAUUGCAUGUGAAAUAUCUACAGACCCUUGUUGAGUGUCUCUGUAUGCUUGGGAAAGUUGCAGCGGCUGGUGCUAUCAUAUGGUUCGUUUUCUAAUAUUUAUUAUUGUUUUUAAUUGGUUUUAGGUAUGCUAGAAAUUCACUCCUUUAAUAUCUUUUAGUUUUAGAUCGCUAGCAGUGGCCCUCAUUUUGUUAGUUAACUUGUCAUCGAUGUCAUCACUAAAUACAAUCUUUAUUAAAUGUAUUCUGUAAUUUGGGGGCGGGGGAAGGUUAACACUUACCAUUCUUGAAGUUAAAGAUGAAUGAUAACCGAUGCAGCCUAACUUUAUCUUCAAAAUUCACUUCGUGAUGUUUUUGUGUUCUCUUGCAGCCAAAAACUUCGACCCACAAUACAUGAGAUCAUAAUAUCCAAGAUUAAGGCCCAUAUGGAGACUAGAAAUUUGUCGAAGUCCGGGAGUAGUCAGAGUGAUCGAACGGGAGCGGUAGGAUUGCAUAUUAUCAAAGGGCAGUCAGAGGCCUACAGAUUAUCAAAAGAGAAACCUCAAAAUGGGAUGCCAAAUUCAGGAUCUCACCUGGCUGUGAGUCCUGUUUCGCCUCUUAUGGCUCCUGGAGGCAAAGCGCAAGCUGCAGCAAAAGACCUUCUUGACUCAAUUUUAGAUACUAUUGUCAAGAUAUUUG